AAUGAAAGGUCUGCGAGGAGGAAAGCUCUCUUUUAUUAAACGAAAAAUUGGAUCGCGCUUGUCGGAAUGCAAUAUUUCGACGGAUUCAUUUGGUGGAAACAUUUCUUCCCUGGGAAAAAAUUCAA